UACGUAGGGCGCAAGCGUUGUCCGGAAUUAUUGGGCGUAAAGAGCUCGUAGGCGGCCAACUAAGUCAGACGUGAAAUCCCUCAGCUUAACUGGGGAACUGCGUCUGAUACUGGAUGGCUUGGAUUUGGGAGAGGAAUGCGGAAUUCCAGGUGUAGCGGUGAAAUGCGUAGAUAUCUGGAGGAACACCGGUGGCGAAGGCGGCAUUCUGGACCAAUAUUGACGCUGAGGAGCGAAAGCCAGGGGAGCAAACGGG
rnacentral:rRNA from 1 species